UGUCCUUUUGAUUAUAAUUUAAGGUCUAGUCUGCCCACUGAGUAUUUAAAUGGCCGCGGUAUUUUGACCGUGCAAAGGUAGCAUAAUAAUUAGUUUCUUAAUUAGAAGCUGGAAUGAAAGAUUGAAUGAGAAAAUAACUGUCUCAAUUUUAUUUUAUUAGAAUUUUAUUUUUAAGUUAAAAAGCUUAAAUUUUUUUAAAAGACGAGAAGACCCUAUAGAGUUUUAUUUAUUUAUUAAUUAAGAAAAUGUUGUUUUAAAAUUUUUUAAUUAAUAAAUAAAUUUUGUUGGGGUGAUAGAAAAAUUAAAUAAACUUUUUUUAAAUUUUAACAUAUAUAUAUGAAUAAUUGAUCCAAAAAUUUUGAUUAAAAGAUUAAAUUACCUUAGGGAUAACAGCGUAAUUUUUUUUGAGAGUUCUUAUCGAAAAAAAAGAUUGCGACCUCGAUGUUGGAUUAAAGUUAAAUUUUGGUGUAGAAGCUAAAAUUUUAGGUCUGUUCGACCUUUAAAACUUU
rnacentral:rRNA from 1 species